GACUUCUGCCCAGUUAUCAGAAUGUCAAAAUGAAGGAAUUCAGUGAGGCAAAGGUUAAUGGCGGGAAUAACUGUGACUCUGUUAAGGUAGCCAAAUUAUUUAUUUAAUUAGGACCUGCCUGAAUGGAU
rnacentral:ncRNA from 1 species